rfam:Vasilyevaea enhydra strain ATCC 23634 genome assembly, contig: JN15DRAFT_scaffold00002.2
GGGGCGGGCCGGGCCCCUCUGACGAUCCGAUGAUCGUGAUGUCGGACCGCAUCG